AUUGAACGCUGGCGGCAGGCCUAACACAUGCAAGUCGAACGAGUGGCGGACGGGUGAGUAAUGUCUGGGAAACUGCCCGAUGGAGGGGGAUAACUACUGGAAACGGUAGAUAAUACCGCAUACCAUCGGAUGUGCCCAGAUGGGAUUAGCUUGUAGGUGAGGUAACGGCUCACCUAGGCGACGAUCCCUAGCUGGUCUGAGAGGAUGACCAGCAACACUGUAACAGAGACACGGUCCAGACUCGUACGGGAGGCAGCAGUGGGGAAUAUUGCACAAGUGGGGGAAGCGUGAUGCAGCCAUGCCGAGUGUAUGAAGAAGGCCUUCGGGUUGUAAAUUACUUUCAGCGGGGAGGCGUUACCCGCAGAAGAAGCACCGGCUAACGCAGUGCCAGCAGCCGCGGUAAUAC
rnacentral:rRNA from 1 species